GAGAGGUAAUUACUGUAGGUUGAGGAAAGACAUAAACAGGAGAGAGAGGUAAUUACUGUAGGUUGAGGAGAGACAUAAACAGGAGAGAGAGGUAAUUACUGUAGGUUGUGGAAAGACAAACAGGAGAGAGGUAAUUACUGUAGGUUGAGGAAAGACAUAAACAGGAGAGAGAGAUAAUUACUGUAGGUUGAGGAGAGACAUAAACAGGAGAGAGAGGUAAUUACUGUAGGUUGAGGAAAGACAAACAGGAGAGAGAGAUAAUUACUGUAGGUUGUGGAAAGACAUAAACAGGAGAGAGAGAUAAUUACUGUAGGUUGUGGAAAGACAUAAACAGGAGAGAGAGGUAAUUACUGUAGGUUGAGGAAAGACAAACAGGAGAGAGAGAUAAUUACUGUAGGUUGUGGAAAGACAUAAACAGGAGAGAGAGGUAAUUACUGUAGGUUGA